rnacentral:rRNA from 1 species
AUUGAACGCUGGCGGCAUGCCUUACACAUGCAAGUCGAACGGCAGCGCGGGCUUCGGCCUGGCGGCGAGUGGCGAACGGGUGAGUAAUGCAUCGGAACGUGCCCAGUAGUGGGGGAUAGCCCGGCGAAAGCCGGAUUAAUACCGCAUACGACCUGAGGGUGAAAGCGGGGGACCGAAAGGCCUCGCGCUAUUGGAGCGGCCGAUGUCGGAUUAGCUAGUUGGUGGGGUAAAGGCUUACCAAGGCGACGAUCCGUAGCUGGUCUGAGAGGACGACCAGCCACACUGGGACUGAGACACGGCCCAGACUCCUACGGGAGGCAGCAGUGGGGAAUUUUGGACAAUGGGGGCAACCCUGAUCCAGCCAUGCCGCGUGCGGGAAGAAGGCCUUCGGGUUGUAAACCGCUUUUGUUCGGGAAGAAAGCCUCUGGGCUAAUACCCCGGGGGGAUGACGGUACCGGAAGAAUAAGCACCGGCUAACUACGUG